CCAAAAUGUUCUCCUGCUGCUCCUCUGAGCUCCCAAUGGUGGUAACACCUACUAUAUGUCUACCCUAAGACUGUCAAAAUGAUUGCACAAGAAAGGAAUUACCUUUUUCCUCCUAGGAUUCUUGUAGAGUUUCAAGUUCUAUAAUCAUUUUUACUUACUCUAUUGUUUAUCCUGAUCUGUACACAUGCCCCAGGAUUUCUUCUGAAGGAAUAAAUGUAAAUUAUAACUGAAAGUAAAAAUGAAA